CACGUAGGGCGCGAGCGUUGUCCGGAAUUAUUGGGCGUAAAGAGCUCGUAGGCGGCCUGUUGCGUCCGCUGUGAAAGCCCGGGGCUUAACCCCGGGUCGGCAGUGGAUACGGGCAGGCUAGAGGUAGGUAGGGGAGAAUGGAAUUCCCGGUGUAGCGGUGAAAUGCGCAGAUAUCGGGAGGAACACCGGUGGCGAAGGCGGUUCUCUGGGCCUUACCUGACGCUGAGGCACGAAAGCGUGGGUAGCAAACAGG
rnacentral:rRNA from 1 species